UAAUACAAUCCAAGUGUUGAGCCACUCCAUCUCUCUCGUGUCUUGCACCCACGGCCGCGACCGCCUCCAACCUCAUCUACGUCGUCCCCGCCUCCGUCCUCCUCUCCGUUGCUGCGGUUUCCUUUCCCCACGGCUGCCGCCCCAUCCCUUCCCACAGCUGCCGUAGCGCCCAUCAUUUUCUGCCCCCGCCGCCCCUGCUGUACCCCAUGGCGAACCAGGCGACCAUGCGCGUCGUUGUCGCCGUACCACACCCAUAGAUCUGCAGCAGCGGCGAGUGACAUCGUCGAGUCAGGAACCUGAGACGCCAACCCCCCAUCCAGGCUCGUCGUCAACACGUCGACGAAGCUGAGCUCACCGUCGCCCUGCUGCCCAGACUACGCUUCCUCCUCCCAGUGGACCUCGUCAUCUUCCACCCCACCAGCACCUCCAAAACUUCCUCCGCGGGCUAGCAGGUUAACAACACAAGUCACUGAUUGAUGCUUGCUGAUGAUUUGGUUCAAUAUCAUUGAAGUUCUCAUGUAUUUGGUUUCCGGCCUGAUCUGCUUGUACUUUUGGUUCUGGGAUCAACAGUAAUAGCUUGUGGAGUUGUUGAGUCUGCUGUGAACUUGUACUUUUGGUUCUGGGAUCAACAGUACUUGCAUGUAUGCUUUCCAGGAACAUAUAUAUGUAUGAAGUUCUGAGAUUGUCAAUGAGCAGUGUGCGUGAAUGAUAUCUGCUUUUUGAAAAUUACAUUGAAUUGUGAAUC